GAGGGUAGCGCUCAGGGCUAGAGCGUGUGCUUAGCAGGCACGAGGUCCUGGGUUCAAUCCCUAGUACCUCCG
rfam:Camelus ferus unplaced genomic scaffold scaffold880, whole genome shotgun sequence.